GCAUAUCAUAAGCGGAGGAAAAGAAACCAACAGGGAUUGCCUAGUAACGGCGAGUGAAGCGGCAACAGCUCAAAUUUGAAAGCUGGCUCCGGCCCGCAUUGUAAUUUGCAGAGGAUGCUUCUGGCAAGGUGCCUUCCGAGUUCCCUGGAACGGGACGCCACAGAGGGUGAGAGCCCCGUAUGGAUGGACACCAAGCCUGUGUGAAGCUCCUUCAACGAGUCGAGUAGUUUGGGAAUGCUGCUCAAAAUGGGAGGUAAAUCUCUUCUAAAGCUAAAUACCGGCCAGAGACCGAUAGCGCACAAGUAGAGUGAUCGAAAGAUGAAAAGCACCUUGAAAAGGGGGUUAAACAGUACGUGAAAUUGUUGAAAGGGAAGCGCUUGUGACCAGACUUGCGCCGGGCGGCUCAUCAGGGGUUCUCCCCUGUGCACUCCGCCCGGCUCAGGCCAGCAUCGGUUCUCGUGGGAGGAUAAGAACGGUGGGAACGUGGCCCCCCUUCGGGGGGGUGUUAUAGCCCACCGUACGAUACUCUCGUGGGGACCGAGGUUCGCGCUCCGCAAGGAUGCUGGCGUAAUGGUCAUCAGCGACCCGUCUUGAAACACGGACCAAGGAGUCGUCCAUUAGAGCGAGCGUUUGGGUGUAAAACCCGCACGCGUAAUGAAAGUGAACGCAGGUGAGAGCUUCGGCGCAUCAUCGACCGAUCCUGAUGUCUUCGGAUGGAUUUGAGUAAGAGUUUUAACGGACGGACCCGAAAGACAGUGAACUAUGCUUGUAUAGGGUGAAGCCAGAGGAAACUCUGGUGGAGGCUCGCAGCGGUUCUGACGUGCAAAUCGAUCGUCAAAUAUGAGCAUGGGGGCGAAAGACUAAUCGAACUGUCUAGUAGCUGGUUACCGCCGAAG
rnacentral:rRNA from 1 species